rnacentral:rRNA from 1 species
GAUGAACGCUGGCGGCGUGCCUAAUACAUGCAAGUCGAGCGAACAGACGAGGAGCUUGCUCCUCUGACGUUAGCGGCGGACGGGUGAGUAACACGUGGAUAACCUACCUAUAAGACUGGGAUAACUUCGGGAAACCGGAGCUAAUACCGGAUAAUAUAUUGAACCGCAUGGUUCAAUAGUGAAAGACGGUUUUGCUGUCACUUAUAGCUGGAUCCGCGCCGCAUUAGCUAGUUGGUAAGGUAACGGCUUACCAAGGCAACGAUGCGUAGCCGACCUGAGAGGGUGGUCGGCCACACUGGAAGUGAGACACGGACCAGACUCCUACGGUAGGCAGCAGUAGGGUAUCUGACGCAAUGGGCGAAAGCCUGACGGAGCAAGGCCGCGUGAGUGAUGAAGGUCUUCGGAGCGUAAAACUGUGUUAUUAGGGAAGAACAAGUGUGUAAGUAACUAUGCACGGCGUGACGGUACCUAAUCAGAAAGCCACGGCUAACUACGUG